rnacentral:lncRNA from 1 species
AAGACCCUUGCAGAUCGGAAAGAGAGCUGAGAGAGUUCGGCGUGGAUCUGCAGGACCUCCGCGCCCUGCGGGGCGACAGGGGAAGAAGGCGGGGAGAGGGGCGCGCGAGAAAAGGUAUGAUGAAGCGUAGAGAGAGAUCGAAGAGGCGGAGGAAGGAUCGAAGAGGCGGAGGAGGGAUCGAAGAGGCGGUUGUGGGGGAGGGUUCGAAGAGGCGGGGCAGGGAUCGAAGCUGUGGGAAUCAGGAAGCGAUCGAAGAGGCGGGGCGAAGGAAUGAAUGGGAUCUGAAGUGGCGUGGUGACGUGGGAUUGAAUUAACAUGGAUUAAGGAAAAUUGGACACAUGGCAAAACAGAACGGGGAUUCAUUAGAGUUUAUAGAUAUUCCCCUCCCCAUCCCAUUCACCGUUCGGGCCAUAAUAAUUAAUUAUAUUAUAUGGCCCGAAGUUCUGCCUGCUCCCUGCAAUUUGGUCACGUGGGCUUGCCAGUCCUCGGCCUUUGCUUCUUCCGCAGUGUAAUAAGAAUCUUUCGACGAGCCCAAACACUUUUUUUUAAAAUUUAAAAUUUAAAUUUAAAUUUAAAUUUAAAUUUUAAAAUUUGAUAUAUAAAAUUUGAGAUUUAAGUUUUAAUAUUUAAAAUUUAACACUACAAAUUUAACAUUUAAAAUUUAAAUUCUAAAAUUGAAAUUUAAAAAUGUAAAUUUUUUGCUCUGAAUAUUUAAAAUUUGUAACCUGAAAAUUAAGACGUAUAAUUUUAAAUUUUCAAAUUCUAAAGUUUUAGUGUUAAAAUUAUAAAGUUAAAAGUAAAUUUUUUCACCGAAAUUUUUUUCACCGAAAAUUUUUUCACAAUUUUAUGUGGAACCAAACACAACCUGAGUGAAAGUACGUCAUACAUUAUACCGUACAAAUAAUAAAAUAAUUAAACUUUCAUUAGAAAGUAUUUUCGCAAAAUAAAUGUAGCAUUUGUGUGGGUGGAGGAAUUUGAUAAUCGGAAGGGGAGUCGGUUGGUGCGUGCAAUCUCGGGAUUGACGUCGGAAUUUGGAAUUUAUGUACUACGUACCUUGAUUUCCGAAAAUCCGAAUUUGCUGUAUCUCGCUACAAGUGGGACCCAGCCCACUUGUGGUUGUUGUGAUUCCCAAAGCUAAAACUUUUUUAAUGGAAACCGUGCUUUGCUGUUGAGGGAAAGGGAAACCGUGACUUGCUGUGGUCCCCGCAGGUGGAGAGGAAAUGAUGUGAUUCCCCCGGGGCUUCACAUCUUGGAAAGUGUGCCCUGCUGUGGUGCCCGAGGGGGAGGUGUGGCCUGUGAGAUUUGAAAUGAUGUGAUUCCUCUCUGGGAACAGAGCUUUCCAGAUUCUGCACCAAAAUAAUUAAAGCUUCUUGGAAGCUUUCUUGCAAACGUCAUACCCCCCCCUCUCAUGCCUCAAGAAGCUUCCGAGAAGCUUCUUGGAAGGUUUCUUUGAAUUCUAAAAAUUUAUAAUUUAUAAUUUCAAAAUUAAGACAUAAAAUUUAAAAUUUGAAGUGUUCAAAUUUUUAAAUUUUAAGAUUUCAAAAUUUAAAUUUUAUGCUAAAAAUUUAAAAUUUUGAAUUUUAGAAUUUAAAAUUUGAGUCUUGGAAUUUAAAAAUUAAAAAAUUGUAAUUUAAAAGCAUUUGUUUUUACAGACUACAUAGUAUAGUGUACAGUUACUAAGAUAAUUAAACUUUUAGAAAAUAUUUUGCAAAAUAAAUACAGGAAAAAAAAAUAUAGAAAGACUCCAAAAAAAAGCAAAAAAAUUGCUGAUUAAAUUCUUAAAAAAAAAUAUUUUGCGAAAUAAAUGUAUAAAAAAAAAUUAAUUGUUAAUAAAGCUGGUAGGAAAUAUUUUGCAAAAUAAAUACAGAAAAAAAAUUCUAGAAAAAGAACCAACCGUAAUUAUUAAAUCCUAAUCAUCAUCAUUACACCGUAAAUUCUAGGUCUUAAAACUUUAUUUUUUAAUAUAUGCGUAUCAAUACUUCAAUAAUAUAGUAGGAUCACAAGCACCUAUGUAACCUACUAAUUAUUUUUUUCUUCUAAAAUUUAUCCAUCUAAUUAAGAUUUUAAAUUUUUUUAAUAUUUUUAUUUUUAAAUAAGUUUUAUAUUUAAUUUGUACUAUAUAAAUAUGAGAUUGGUUGGGUUGCAUGUUAUCAAGUGGGUUAGGUUUAGGGAUGCAAAUGGGGCGGAUCUGGGGGCGGGGCCCNAAGCGAUCGAAGAGGCGGGGCGAAGGAAUGAAUGGGAUCUGAAGUGGCGUGGUGACGUGGGAUUGAAUUAACAUGGAUUAAGGAAAAUUGGACACGUGGCAAAAUAGAACGGGGAUUCAUUAGAG